GGUUUACUUUGACUAUUGGUGUUUCAAAGGGAGGAUAAAAGAAUGUCCAAUGCCAUCUAAGGUUAACUUUGCCUUAGGAUGUUUUAAAGGGAGGUUAAAAGAAUAUAAAACAGUAUCUAAGGUUAACUUUGACUAAUGGUGUUUCAUAGGGAGGUUAAAAGAAUAUCAAACACCAUCUAAGGUUUACUUUGACUAUUGGUGUUUCAAAGGGAGGAUAAAAGAAUGUCCAAUGCCAUCUAAGGUUAACUUUGCCUUAGGAUGUUUUAAAGGGAGGUUUAAAGAAUAUAAAACAGCAUCUAAGGUUAACUUUGACUAAUGGUGUUUCAUAGGGAGGUUAAAAGAAUUUCAAACACCAUCUAAGGUUUACUUUGACUAUUGGUGUUUCAAAGGGAGGAUAAAAGAAUGUCCAACGCCAUCUAAGGUUUACUUUGCCUUAGGAUGUUUUAAAGGGAGGUUAAAAGAAUAUAAAACAGCAUCUAAGGUUAACUUUGACUAAUGGUGUUUCAUAGGGAGGUUAAAAGAAUAUCAAACACCAUCUUAGGUUAACUUUGACUUAUGGUGUUUCAUAGGGAGGUUAAAAGAAUAUCAAACACCAUCUUAGGUUAACUUUGACUUAUGGUGUUUCAUAGGGAGGUUAAAAGAAUAUCAAACACCAUCUUAGGUUAACUUUGACUUAUGGUGUUUCAUAGGGAGGUUAAAAGAAUAUCAAACACCAUCUUAGGUUAACUUUGACUAAUGGUGUUUCAUAGGGAGGUUAAAAGAAUA